GGGGGUAUAGCUCAGUUGGUAGAGCGCUGCCCUUGCAAGGCAGAAGUCAGCGGUUCGAAUCCGCUUAUCUCCACCA
rnacentral:tRNA from 1 species